ACCCCCAUCCCUCUGAGGUCCACGCACUGUGCGGAUCUCCAGAAAGUGGUCGCCGAGGGUGCCCUGCGAGGCAGGAAGGGGACGCGUCACUCGGGGAGACGGCAGUACGGGGCGCCGGGAGGACAAAACGAGCUGGGGAUUGAAGAGCGCGCCCCUACAAAGACCAGCAGUGGGCAGCACAGUCCAGUGCCAAGGUAGCCCGCAGAAAGAAGACGCGGACAGACUCGGGCCUCGGAGCCGGAGCCGAGAGGCGGCGAUCCGUUCUAAUGGAGAGUGCUCCGGGUUUCCGCGCCACGAUCGAGCGCUCGUACCGACCCCUGGAAACAGGCAGAGAGCAGCGCCCCGGGAGAUGGGGCUCCUAGCUCACCCGCAGGUUUUUCAAGCUUUUUGUAUCUGCUAAACCCUUUCUUCAGGGUGAGCCUUGCAUGAACACACAACCGUGUGGAACGAAGGCAGUUUUAAGGGGCGGCGCUGAUCGAAGGGAACGGUGUGCGUUGCCUUAGAAGCGGCAGGUGCUGGGGAGUCUAGCUCCAAAACCUACCCAAGAACUGGAAGCUAAAGUAGGAACUCCGUGCCGAUUGCGCUCAGCCUUCACACAGAGCUGAGAAUGGUUUGCCUGCACCCUGCCUACCACAGUGGAUUAGAAAAUGGUCAUGUUUCAGUUUAAUAUAAAGGUAUGGCUAGGGAAUGAUGUGUAUAAAAAGGCAUGUCAUACUGUGUGAUGAAACCAGAGCCAGUAAAUAAAUGCACAAGUGUUUCCCCAAACCUGGAAUGGCCAAGGACGACUGACGGCUGGCAGAGCCUGACAUACAAAGAGCCAAGCACACCGGCUCCAGCCCAGACCCAGAGGAGCAGAUGGCCCCUGCUGCCUGCGAGAGAGCCUGUGCAGCAGCCCUGGUCAGAGCCAAGGGCCUCAGAAACAGCCUUCUCAGGGCAUUCUGGCCAGCCCUGAGCAAGCCCAAAGCCACCAGUUUCCAGUCACUGUAGAUUUGGGGGUCAGGUGGGGAAACGGAGAAUGAAUCCAGAGAUGAAUAGUCUGCGUUUACCUCUCAGAGUGCAAAUAAAGACGUUUUAUCCCCCA